rfam:Bombyx mori DNA, contig: Bm_scaf160_contig40617, strain: p50T/Dazao, build 2, whole genome shotgun sequence.
UUAACGCAAAUUUGUAUGGAGUUGGCACAGUUUCCUUUCGUUGAACACUAGGGGCGCUGUUCCGACUCCAUACAAAUUUGAGUUA